rnacentral:rRNA from 1 species
CCUACGGGUGGCAGCAGUGAGGAAUAUUGGUCAAUGGGCGGAAGCCUGAACCAGCCAAGUCGCGUGAGGGACUAAGGCCCUACGGGUCGUAAACCUCUUUUGCCGGGGAUCAGUGCCCAGCUCGCGAGCUGGGAGGGAGCGUACCCGGAGAAAAAGCAUCGGCUAACUCCGUGCCAGCAGCCGCGGUAAUACGGAGGAUGCGAGCGUUAUCCGGAUGUAUUGGGUUUCAAGGGUGCGUAGGCGGUCCUUCAGGCCGGCGGUAAAAGUGCGGGGCUCAACCCCGCCGAGCCGUCGGGAACGGGGGCAUUGAGUACCGGAGAAGUACGCGGAAUGCGUGGUGUAGCGGUGAAAGUCAUAGAUAUCACGCAGAACCCCGAUUGCGAAGGCAGCGUACCGGCCGGGCACUGACGCUGAGGCACGAAAGCGCGGGUAUCGAACAGGAGUAGAUACCCCAGUAGUC